rnacentral:rRNA from 1 species
UACAGAGGGGGCAAGCGUUAUUCGGAAUUAUUGGGCGUAAAGGGCGCGUAGGCGGCGAUUCAAGUGACGGGUGAAAUCCCCAGGCUCAACUUGGGAACUGCGUCUGAUACUGGAUGGCUUGAAUCCGGGAGAGGGAUGCAGAAUUCCAGGUGUAGCGGUGAAAUGCGUAGAUAUCUGGAGGAAUACCGGUGGCGAAGGCGGCAUCCUGGACCGGGAUUGACACUGAGGAGCGAAAGCUAGGGGAGCAAACGGG